ensembl:lncRNA
CCCACCCCCACGCCCCCGUGGUUCUGGUCGCCAGCCUCUGGCCAAUGCCCCUGCAGCCCAGCCCCCGUUUUCCUCCCUGGCACCACCGAGGGGGGCCCGGCCCAGGGCUCUCCAGGAGCCCGCCGUGGGCUGAGUACGGCCGAGGACUGGGCAGGCAGGGCAGCCGGUGGUCGCCGUCCCUCCAGGACACGAGUGCCCCUGCACAGGGGCGGAAGGGGAGGCCCGGGAGCCGGGGAGCCGCGGAGGCCAAGGGCCAGGCCGGCCAGGCCCCAGGGCAGGGCGGGGCGAUCCCAGCGUGCGGCCCUGAGGCACUGUCCCCACACCGCUCCACACUGUCCCGAAGCCCCGAGCGCCAGCCCGGACCCCCGGGACACGCCCCCCACCACACACACACACACACACACACACACACACACACACACACACUCCCCCCCCGACCCCCGGGACACACACCCCCACCCCACCCCCUGCACCCCCGCACCCCCGACCGCUGGGACACCCCCCACACACUCCCCUCCCCUCCAGCAACGCGCGGCGCUCCCAUCCCCCGGCAGCCCACCAGGUGGCGCUCGCUCCCCCAUUUCCCCCCCCCCUCCCGCGCCGACGCCCGUGACGUCAGCCGCCCGGCUCCAUUUGAGCGCCUCUCGGCAGCCGAGAACUCGGACUUCCCGUGUGGCUCACAACAUAACUACUCGGCGUUGCUUCUACAGUGGCUGUGGCUCGACCCCUGGCCUGGGAACUUCCAUAUGCCGCAGCCCCGCGGCGGCAGAUGGCACUCGUUCUGCCGCUUUUUCCUGGCUGUGUGCGAUGCCAUCGCAUAGAUGUCCCCGGGUCUGCGAAGUGCACUCACCUGUCAGUGGACCUUUAGGUGGCUUCCAGAUCUUGGCUCUGGUGAGUAGUGCGGCGACAGACAGAGGGGUGCCCGGGUCUGCUUCCGGGAAAGUUUGGUCCCGGUGAAAUGGAGCUGUUUGGAGGCCGGCUUCGGUCUUUGUGUGGGCCGGCCCGUGUAGGGCUGCUUGGCUGAGACUCUGUCGAGGAGGGAGGCCUUCAGCCACCGGGGCCUCACGGGGCCUACCCGUGCGGCACCAUCACAGAGCUCUCCGUCACUGCCCCUUGUGGGGGUGAGGGAAGGGGCGUGUUUGAGGGGGGUGGGGGGGGUGUGCGCGCGCGUGCACGCACGCUGGCGGGCGUGGGUGUCCCGGGGCCUGGCCAGCCCUCCGCUAGAGAUCAGCACGCAUGGAUGCUGACGUGAGGACCAGCAGGGUGACAAGAGAGGCUGCCUGGUGGGUGACCGCGCUGGGCAGAGCCACAACCCGCUCGCCUUUCAGUUCUCCACCCAGGGGCCCCUCCUGCGAGCCACCCAUAGGGGUCCCUGGUCCCUCCCUCAGACGUCGUCUCCACCACGGCCCGAGAUCAUCUUUCUUCUCCAGUGGGUUCCUUGUCUCUUGCGUACCACCCUCUCCACCCCCCCACCCCCACCCCCACCCCCACCCGGCUUGCCCUUGGACAGACGGCGAGAAGCUGACCGAGAGACCGAGACAGAGACAGGAGAUGAGCCGAGGCCGGUGGGCAAAUGGUGCAGAGAGGGCUUGUCCGACGCAGGGUUGCCCCAGAACUUCACACACACGCACGCACACACGGACACACACGCACAGACACACGCCCGCGCGCACACACACACGCACACCAGCCCCGGCCCAGCGGCCCAGCGACCCCUCUCUGUGAACGGCCUUGAGGCCACGUGCCGGGCCACGCGGAUCCCCCAGUGCCCAAGGGCACUGGCGGCCCACAGGGAUCCAAGGGCAAGGCGGGUGGGAGGCU